rnacentral:rRNA from 1 species
GGAUUAGAUACCCUGGUAGUCCACGCCGUAAACGAUGGUCACUCGAUGUACAACUUUUUGAAGUGUGUGUCUAAGCGAAAGCGUUAAGUGACCCACCUGGGGAGUACGCUCGCAAGAGUGAAACUUAAAGGAAUUGACGGGGAUCCGCACAAGCGGUGGGGCAUGUGGUUUAAUUCGACAGUCCGCGAAGAACCUUACCUAGAUUAAAUGUAUAUUGACAUACUGAAAAAUCAGUAUUUCCGCAAGGACAAUAUGCAAGGUGUUGCAUGGCCGUCGUCAGCUCGUGUCG